rnacentral:piRNA from 1 species
UGCAUCCAACUCCAAUGGAAUCAGAUGGCUUU